CACCCAGGUCGCGCGAUAAGAGGACUAGCUCUUAGUUGCGAGCCUGUUUGACCUAAAUAAACCUGAAUACAGACUGAAUAAUUGUUUUCCCGGCCAACCGAGUAAAUCCUUCCUUUGGAACCGGCCAUCAGAGAGAGAGAGAAGCCCUUCUUUUGGUCGUGCGCUUUUUUUUUUUGAUUUUCUUUCAAACAGGCUGGUUGUUUGGGAAUGCGACCUAGAUUGGGAGGUCUAUCCCACCCCUAGCUAUAGAUUGGAAAGAAACCGAGAACGAACACCUACCGGGAGGGAAAAAGAAAAAUAUCUUUAAAAAGAUAGUUAAAAAGUAAAUUUGAUUGUUAAAAGGCGAUCGUUGGCAGACUGAGUGGUCUGUCUGUAAUCUAUCUAUCCGUCUGGCUGCACGUCCUUGCGAGGCCUGCCUGCCACCCUUUCUUUUACUUGAGAAAAAAAACAAAAAAAAAAGCGGCCCGCUGGUGGGAGUGAUACUCCCACAAAAACUACCUUGGGAUUGAGAGAGGAACCCAACGCAUGUUUUUUGGCUUUUUUUCCAGGAUUUUUUUCUGAGUUACUACUCUAUCAUGGUCGAUCUGUUUAUACAUCUAUUUCCUCACGUAGGUGGUUGGGUGACUGACUCUGAGUGACCCUUAUAACACACAACCAAAAAAAAAGGCAAA
rnacentral:rRNA from 1 species